rnacentral:rRNA from 1 species
GAUGAACGCUGGCGGCGUGCCUAAUACAUGCAAGUCGAGCGAACAGAUGAGGAGCUUGCUCCUCUGACGUUAGCGGCGGAUGGGUGAGUAACACGUGGAUAACCUACCUAUAAGACUGGGAUAACUUCGGGAAACCGGAGCUAAUACCGGAUAAUAUAUUGAACCGCAUGGUUCAAUAGUGAAAGACGGUUUUGCUGUCACUUAUAGAUGGAUCCGCGCCGCAUUAGCUAGUUGGUAAGGUAACGGCUUACCAAGGCAACGAUGCGUAGCCGACCUGAGAGGGUGAUCGGCCACCCGGGAACUGAGACACGGUCCAGACUCCUACGGGAGGCAGCAGUAGGGAAUCUUCCGCAAUGGGCGAAAGCCUGACGGAGCAACGCCGCGUGAGUGAUGAAGGUCUUCGGAUCGUAAAACUCUGUUAUUAGGGAAGAACAAAUGUGUAAGUAACUAUGCACGUCUUGACGGUACCUAAUCAGAAAGCCACGGCUAACUACGUG